UACGGAGGGUGCAAGCGUUAUCCGGAUUCACUGGGUUUAAAGGGUGCGUAGGUGGGCAAGUAAGUCAGUGGUGAAAUCUCCGGGCUUAACCCGGAAACUGCCAUUGAUACUAUCUGUCUUGAAUAUUGUGGAGGUGAGCGGAAUAUGUCAUGUAGCGGUGAAAUGCUUAGAUAUGACAUAGAACACCAAUUGCGAAGGCAGCUCGCUACACAUAUAUUGACUCUGAGGCACGAAAGCGUGGGGAUCAAACAGG
rnacentral:rRNA from 1 species